rnacentral:rRNA from 1 species
GAUGAACGCUAGCGACAGGCUUAACACAUGCAAGUCGAGGGGCAGCAUGAUUUGUAGCAAUACAGAUUGAUGGCGACCGGCGCACGGGUGAGUAACGCGUAUGCAACUUACCUAUCAGAGGGGGAUAGCCCGGCGAAAGUCGGAUUAAUACCCCAUAAAACAGGGGUCCCGCAUGGGAAUAUUUGUUAAAGAUUCAUCGCUGAUAGAUAGGCAUGCGUUCCAUUAGGCAGUUGGCGGGGUAACGGCCCACCAAACCGACGAUGGAUAGGGGUUCUGAGAGGAAGGUCCCCCACAUUGGUACUGAGACACGGACCAAACUCCUACGGGAGGCAGCAGUGAGGAAUAUUGGUCAAUGGACGAGAGUCUGAACCAGCCAAGUAGCGUGCAGGAUGACGGCCCUAUGGGUUGUAAACUGCUUUUAUAAGGGAAUAAAGUGAGUCUCGUGAGACUUUUUGCAUGUACCUUAUGAAUAAGGACCGGCUAAUUCCGUGCCAGCAG